CAGCCGUAAACUAUGCGCGUUAGGUGUACUGGUGACCACGAGUCACCGGGUGCCGAAGGGAAACCGUGAAACGUGCCGCCUGGGAAGUACGGUCGCAAGGCUGAAACUUAAAGGAAUUGGCGGGGGAGGCACCACAACGGGUGGAGCCUGCGGUUUAAUUGGACUCAACGCCGGGAAGCUCACCGGAUAGGACAGCAGAAUGAUUGCCGGGCUGAAGACCCUGCAUGACUAGCUGAGAGGUGGUGCAUGGCGUCAGUGAC
rnacentral:rRNA from 1 species